UACGUAGGGUGCGAGCGUUGUCCGGAAUUAUUGGGCGUAAAGGGCGCGUAGGCGGCUUGGCAAGUGGAUGGUGAAAUCCCUCGGACUUAACCGAGGAACUGCCGUCCAAACUGCUUCGCUUGAGACCGGGAGAGGUGAGUGGAAUUCCCAGUGUAGCGGUGAAAUGCGUAGAUAUUGGGAGGAACACCAGUGGCGAAGGCGGCUCACUGGACCGGUACUGACGCUGAUGCGCGAAAGCGUGGGGAGCAAACGGGG
rnacentral:rRNA from 1 species